rnacentral:rRNA from 1 species
AAGUACUCCGCCUGAGUAGUACGUUCGCAAGAAUGAAACUCAAAGGAAUUGACGGGGGCCCGCACAAGCGGUGGAGCAUGUGGUUUAAUUCGAAGCAACGCGAAGAACCUUACCAGGUCUUGACAUCUGGAUAAAGACUCUAGAGAUAGAGGGAUAGAUAUAUUCAAGACAGGUGGUGCAUGGUUGUCGUCAGCUCGUGUCGUGAGAUGUUGGGUUAAGUCCCGCAACGAGCGCAACCCUUGUCGUUAGUUACCAGCAGUAAGAUGGGGACUCUAACGAGACAGCCGGUGACAAGCCGGAGGAAGGCGGGGAUGACGUCAAAUCAUCAUGCCCCUUAUGACCUGGGCUACACACGUGCUACAAUGGACGGAUCAAAGGGAAGCGAAGAGGCGACUUGGAGCGAAACUCAAAAACCCGUUCUCAGUUCGGAUUGCAGGCUGCAACUCGCCUGCAUGAAGAUGGAAUCGCUAGUAAUCGCGGAUCAGCAUGCCGCGGUGAAUACGUUCUCGGGCCUUGUACACACCGCCCGUCACACCACGAGAGUUGAUAACACCCGAAGCCGGUGGCUUAACCGAAAGGAGAGAGCUGUCUAAGGUGGGAUCGAUGAUUGGGGUGAAGUCGUAACAAGGUAUCCCUACGGGAACGUGGGGAUGG